rnacentral:rRNA from 1 species
GUGCCAGCAGCCGCGGUAAUACGUAGGGUGCAGGCGUUAAUCGGAAUUACUGGGCGUAAAGCGUGCGCAGGCGGUCUCUUAAGACAGGUGUGAAAUCCCCGAGCUUAACUUGGGAACUGCGCUUGUAACUGAGAGGCUAGAGUGUGGCAGAGGGGGGUGGAAUUCCACGUGUAGCAGUGAAAUGCGUAGAGAUGUGGAGGAACACCGAUGGCGAAGGCAGCCCCCUGGGCUAACACUGACGCUCAUGCACGAAAGCGUGGGGAGCAAACAGGAUUAGAUACCCUGGUAGUCC